GGACAGUUAUUAUUUAGGUACCCUGCACAGGCCUGUUUACUCCACUUUCCCCAAAUCGACCGAAGAACCCUAGUUGCAGAUAAUGCCGAACGCCAAAGGUGCAGAUCCGGUCGUCCGUUGCUCGUCGCGGCCAGUUCGCCGGUGACCACCUCUACAAGUGUCGCAAUCAUAAUCCGGGGCGUGGUGGAUGCGAUUUUUACCGGUGGCAGGAAGCCUAUGUGGAGCACCUGGCUUCGCUUGGUCCGGCGCCAGCUCCGCUGGCGCAAAUCAAUCCAGGGCAGCAGUAAUGUCGCAAGAACACCUUCAGAGAUGCAGUCAUCUUGUGCUGCAGAUUUUCAACAGACUUGACACUGGGUCCAUCACUCUGUACUCUGAAUUUAUGGGCAUGCUCCGAGCAGCAGAGCAAUAGCAGUGAAAAAAUGACUGUCCGCGAUUCAACCACGCCUCCGGCACGAUUUGUGGUCUCUGUCGUGGCUUCUCAAGAUGCAAUCUGAACAUUGGUGACCGCCUAGCUAGAUUGAUAGAAGCACAUAGAGGGAAACAAAAAUGCACUCCACAUGCUGGAUCAGGCUCCAUGCCAAGCUCCUCUACAGGAUUGAACAUCACACAUCUCCAGAUGCAAAUGCCCACAGCGCAAACACUGGAGAUGAACUUUGCACAUUCACUUAUGCAGACUUCUGACCACGUGUAUCCAGACAAAUACAAAACUCCUGAUACCACACUGCCGGCGACACACUACUGUUGCAAGCAACCAAAUGCCCGUCCUCCACUAACAAUUCUACUCGUGCAGACAACCUACAUGCUGAUUUAGAACAGCUGGCAUCACCGAACUGCCCGCCAACGCCAUUCCAUGUACGUAGCGAUAGCUAAAUAGUGUCCAUACCAGAAUCAAUUGCAUGGACAAACAAGCGACAACGGUGAGGUGCUGCAAGAGAGCUGGACUGGAAGAAACAGAAAACAAAAGGCCCAUUAGU